GAUGAACGCUGGCGGCGUGCUUAACACAUGCAAGUCGAACGGUGAAGCAGGAGCUUGCUCCUGUGGAUCAGUGGCGAACGGGUGAGUAACACGUGAGCAAUCUGCCCUGGACUCUGGGAUAAGCGUUGGAAACGACGUCUAAUACCGGAUACGAGGCGUGGGGGCAUCCCCAACGCCUGGAAAGAACUUCGGUCCAGGAUGAGCUCGCGGCCUAUCAGCUAGUUGGUGAGGUAACGGCUCACCAAGGCGACGACGGGUAGACGGCCUGAGAGGGUGACCGGCCACACUGGGAAUGAGACACGGACCAGACUCCUACGGGAGGCAGCAGUGGGGAAUAUUGCACAAUGGGCGCAAGCCUGAUGCAGCAACGCCGCGUGAGGGACGACGGCCUUCAGGUUGUAAACCUCUUUUAGCAGGGAAGAAGCGAAAGUGACGGUACCUGCAGAAAAAGCACCGGCUAACUACGUGCCAGCCGCCGCCGUAAUAC
rnacentral:rRNA from 1 species